AGCGAACGCUGGCGGCAGGCCUAACACAUGCAAGUCGAGCGGCCGUAGCAAUACGGCAGCGGCAGACGGGAGAGUAACACGUGGGAACGCGCCCUUCGGUUCGGAAUAACUCAGGGAAACUUGGGCUAAUACCGGAUACGCCCUUACGGGGAAAGAGUUAUUGCCGAAGGAACGGCCCGCGUCCGAUUAGCUUGUUGGUGAGGUAACGGCUCACCAAGGCGACGAUCGGUAGCUGGUCUGAGAGGAUGACCAGCCUCACUGGGACUGAGACACGGCCCAGACUCCUACGGGAGGCAGCAGUGGGGAAUAUUGGACAAUGGGCGCAAGCCCGAUCCAGCCAUGCCGCGUGGGUGAUGAAGGCCCUAGGGUUGUAAAGCCCUUUCGGCGGGGAAGAUAAUGACGGUACCCGCAGAAGAAGCCCCGGCUAACUUCGUGCCAGCAGCCGCGGUAA
rnacentral:rRNA from 1 species